rnacentral:rRNA from 1 species
GACAGAGGGUGCAAACGUUGUUCGGAAUUACUGGGCGUAAAGCGCGUGUAGGCUGUUCGGAAAGUCGGAUGUGAAAGCCCUGGGCUUAACCCAGGAAGUGCAUUCGAAACUCCCGAACUGGAGUCCUGGAGAGGAAGGCGGAAUUCUCGGUGUAGAGGUGAAAUUCGUAGAUAUCGAGAGGAACAUCGGUGGCGAAGGCGGCCUUCUGGACAGUGACUGACGCUGAGGCACGAAAGCUAGGGGAGCAAACAGG